rnacentral:tRNA from 4 species
GGCCCGUUGGUCAAGUGGUUAAGACAUCGCCCUUUCACGGCGGUAUCAGGGGUUCGAAUCCCCUACGGGUCACCA